rnacentral:rRNA from 1 species
UACAGAGGGUGCGAGCGUUGUCCGGAUUCAUUGGGCGUAAAGGGGUGCGUAGGCGGCGCGGUAAGUCGGGGUGUGAAAUCUCGGAGCUUAACUCCGAAACUGCAUUCGAUACUGCCGUGCUUGAGGACUGGAGAGGAGACUGGAAUUUACGGUGUAGCGGUGAAAUGCGUAGAUAUCAGGAAGAACACCUAUGGCGAAGGCAGCUCUCUGGGACGGUACUGACGCUGAGACGCGAAAGCGUGGGGAGCGAACAGG